rnacentral:rRNA from 1 species
GGCUAAGUUACUAAGAGCGCAUGGUGGAUGCCUUGGCGCCAGAAGUCGAUGAAAGACGUGGCCAGCGACGAUACGCUCCGGGGAGGUGCAAGCAACCUUUGAUCCGGAGAUCUCUGAAUGGGGAAACCCUUCGCGGUGACAAAUCGCGAAACGUAGGCGGAAAUGCCUUUGGGAAACUAAAGGAGGUACCGCUUUCGAGACAACCCAGGGAAGUGAAACAUCUCAGUACCUGGAGGAAAAUAAAUCAAACGAGAUUCCCUCAGUAGUGGCGAGCGAACGGGGAACAGCCUAAACCCAACCUAUGUUGGGUGUUGCAGGGCUUGUCCGGUUUAGAGCCGGUGAGUAAAAAAUCGCUUCGUUAGUUGAACGUGCCUGGAAAGGCCGACCAAAGAGGGUGAGAGUCCCGUAAACAAAAGCGAAGCGGCUCACGAUAAGUUCCUAAGUAGCGCCGAGCACGUGAAAUUCGGCGUGAAUCCGGGGAGACCACUCUCCAAGGCUAAAUACUCUCUGGCGACCGAUAGUGCACAAGUACCGCGAGGGAAAGGUGAAAAGGACCCCUGACGGGGAGUGAAAAGAACCUGAAACCGUGCGUUUACAAGCAGACGAAGAGCUAUGCCCUGCAAGGGGAAUGCUCGACGUCGUGCCUGUUGAAGAAUGAUCCGGCGAGUUACUGUUGCAUGCAAGGUUAAGGACCCGAGGGUCCGGAGCCGUAGCGAAAGCGAGUCUUAACGGGCGACAAGUAUGCAGUAGUAGACCCGAAGCCAGUCGAUCUAACCCAGGACAGGGUGAAGUCACCUUAACCGGUGAUGGAGGCCCGAAGCGUUGACAGUUGAAAAUGUCCUGCAUGAGCUUGGGUUAGGGGUGAAAGGCCAAUCGAGGCUGGUGAUAGCUGGUUCUCCCCGAAAUAGCUUUAGGGCUAGCGUGGAGCGAUGACCGUGUGAGGUAGAGCACUGGAUAGUGUAGGGCCGAAUACCUCGGUUCCGAAUCUAACCAAACUCCGAAUACAUACGGGAAAACUCCGCAGUCAGUUCACGAGGGCUAAGCUUCGUGCGCAAGAGGGGAACAACCCAGACCGUCGACCUAGGUCCCAAAAUUCAGGUUAAGUGGUUAAGGAUGUGAUUUGACUUAGACAGCGAGGAGGUUGGCUUAGAAGCAGCCAUCCUUUAAAGAGUGCGUAACAGCUCACUCGUCAAGUUGAGUCGCGCCGAAAAAGUCCGGGGCUCAAACCUGGUACCGCAGUCACGGCUGUGAGGUGGAUUCGUCCAUUUCACGGGGUAGGGGAGCGUUCCGUUCUAGGAUGAAGGCACACCGAUAGGAGUGCUGGACGAAACGGAAGUGAGAAUGUCGGAAUAAGUAGCGAUAAGGUCUGUGAGAAUCAGACCCGCCGCAAGCCUAAGGUUUCCUUGUUUAAAGUUCGUCUGAACAGGGUCAGUCGGUCCUAAGUCGAGGCCGAAAGGCGUAGAUGAUGGGCAUCAGGUUAAUAUUCCUGAACCACAUUAUGUGGGUCACACCGAGGGGGGACGCAGAAAGGUAAGCCAGCCGGCAGAAGGUUACCGGUCCAAGGUCGUAGGGAGGUUCUCCAGGCAAAUCCGGAGGGCCGUUAAUCCCGAGAACCGAGUGCGAGCGCGUCGCAAGACAUGCGAAGUGGCCCAACUACGCUGCCAAGAAAAUCCCCGCGGUUACUGCAUAGUGUGUCCGUACCGCAAACCGACACAGGUAGGCGAGGAGAAUAUCCUCAGGCGCGCGAGCGAACUCUCGCUUAGGAACUCGGCAAACUGGCCCCGUAACUUCGGAAGAAGGGGUGCCUGGUGCUUUGACCCCGUACAGGGGAAGGGGCGCUAGGUCUCAGUGAAUGGGGAGCCGCGACUGUUUAACAAAAACACAGCACUCUGCUGAAAUCGCAAGAUGAUGUAUAGGGUGUGAAGCCUGCCCGGUACCGGAAGGUCAUGGGGAGAGGUCAGGGUCCGCAAGGGCCCGAAGCUUUGAACUUAAGCCCCGGUAAACGGCGGCCGUAACUAUAACGGUCCUAAGGUAGCGAAAUUCCUUGUCGGGUAAGUUCCGACCUGCACGAAUGGCUUAACGAAGGCUCCGCUGUCUUGGCGAGAGGCUCGGCGAAAUUGUGGUAUCCGUGAAGACGCGGAUUACCUGCGGUCAGACGAAAAGACCCCGUGGAGCUUUACUGUAACUUGUUAUUGCGUUUUGGGACUGGAUACGUAGGAUAGGUGGGAGCCUUUGAGAUCUCGCUUUCGGGCGGGAUGGAGGCGUCCUUGAAAUACCACCUUUUCGGUUCUGAGACGCUAACCCCGUGCCGUAUAUCCGGCCGGGGAACAGUAGCAGGCGGGCAGUUUAACUGGGGCGGUUGCCUCCUAAAGAGUAACGGAGGCGUUCCAAGGUUCUCUCAGGGCGUAUAGAAAUCGCCUGUCGAGUGCAAGAGCAGAAGAGAGCUUAACUGCGAGGCAUACAAGCCAAGCAGAUCGGAAACGAGGAUCUAGUGAUCCGGUGGUUGAUUGUGGGAUUGCCAUCGCUCAACGGAUAAAAGCUACCCCGGGGAUAACAGGCUUAACCAAUAAUAGGCCCCUGUGUUCGUGAGGACACAGGAUAAAAAACUAGGCUUACAACGGUGAAACCCUACAUUCUGAAGUUUAAGAGACAUGCGAAUAUGGUCGCACGAAGAUGUGAAUCUUCGACAGAAUAGGGCAAUACCGUGGGAACCUUCGACGACAAGUCGAAAGGUCCUGUAACGACUGUGCCACGCCAAACGGCGUUGCAACGAUCUCCUGCGUACUAGGGUUUCGUUCGGCACGACUUUGGUUCACUAAUUCACCGAGCCGGUGGGUUAAAUAUACGACCAAGGUAACACGCCUAGCCCCUGCCUUCGGCAGGGUGAUGAUAUAGUCUGCACCCAAUGGAAAUUGGGAAAUAUGUGUAUCGGAUCCAAGAGCCCAUAUCGACGAUCCGGUUUGGCACCUCGAUGUCGGCUCAUCGCAUCCUCCCGCUGGAGUCGGUGGGAAGGGUUUGGCUGUUCGCCAAUUAAAGCGGUACGUGAGCUGGGUUCAGUACGUCGUGAGACAGUACGGUCUCUAUCUACCGUAGGCGUAGGACUUUUGAGAGUGAGUUGUCUCUAGUACGAGAGGACCGAGAUGAACGCGCCUCUGGCGUACCGGUUGGCCCACCCGGGCCACGGCCGGAUAACUACUGCGCGGACGGGAUAAACGCUGAAAGCAUCUAAGCGUGAAGCCCACCUCAAGAUUAGAAGUCCCUGUUCCCUUGUGGAACCUAAAGGCCUCCAAUAGACUAUUGGAUUGAUCGGUGGGGUGUGGAAGUGGGGUAACCCAUGAAGCUAACCCAUACGAAUCGGCCGUGAGACUUAGCCGC